GUGACAGCAGAGAGACAGGAAAGGCGGGAGAGAGAGGGGGGAUGUCAUGCAGCAAAGGGCCCCCUGGUUGGAAUCAAACCCGGGCUGCUGCGGCAGGGGCAAUGUGAAACCAGAACCAAUGGGACUGAAAAACUUACGGAUGGCGUCCAUAGCGACAAUGCGGUCUGUGGGCUCGCUGAAGGGCCCGGGCCCGGCUAGGUUCUC